GUGGGGAAUAUUGGACAAUGGGCGCAAGCCUGAUCCAGCCAUGCCGCGUGAGUGAUGAAGGCCUUAGGGUUGUAAAGCUCUUUUGUCCGGGAAGAUAAUGACUGUACCGGAAGAAUAAGCCCCGGCUAACUUCGUGCCAGCAGCCGCGGUAAUACGAAGGGGGCUAGCGUUGCUCGGAAUCACUGGGCGUAAAGGGCGCGUAGGCGGACUCUUAAGUCGGGGGUGAAAGCCCAGGGCUCAACCCUGGAAUUGCCUUCGAUACUGAGAGUCUUGAGUUCGGAAGAGGUGAGUGGAACUCCUAGUGUAGAGGUGGAAUUCGUAGAUAUUAGGAAGAACACCAGUGGCGAAGGCGGCUCACUGGUCCGGUACUGACGCUGAGGUGCGAAAGCGUGGGGAGCAAACAGGAUUAGAAACCCGAGUAGUCC
rnacentral:rRNA from 1 species